rnacentral:rRNA from 1 species
GUGUCAGCCGCCGCGGUAAUACGAAGGUCCCAAGCGUUAUCCGGAUUUAUUGGGUUUAAAGGGUGCGUAGGCGGGCUAUUAAGUCAGUGGUGAAAGCCCCAAGCUUAACUUGGGAACUGCCAUUGAUACUGAUGGUCUUGAGUACAUUUGAGGUGGGCGGAAUGUGUCAUGUAGCGGUGAAAUGCUUAGAUAUGACACAGAACACCGAUUGCGAAGGCAGCUCACUAAACUGUAACUGACGCUGAGGCACGAAAGCGUGGGGAGCAAACAGGAUUAGAAACCCCCGUAGUCC